UUUAAUUGCCACACACCCCGCCCCCGCUCACCCCUAACAUGCAACCCACAGUGACCCAGACCGCCACACGGGCCCACACCGACCAUGAAAUUUGAACACGAGGCGGGCGAUCUCCUUGUAGUCCCUCACCUGCAAGCAAUAGUCACCUGGCGGCGGAUGCUCAAACGGCCGUAUCUCAACAUUUGGUCCUAAAUCCGCCAUUGUGGUCGCAAGUGCUGCCCCGUGCGAUGUUCAAAAAACGUCCUAGGCGCCAUCUUGUGACGUCAGGUCGCCCCUCAGCCUGACUGCUCGGGAGCGGGGCUAGAUCCGACCAGUUUCCGUCCUAGCCCGUCGCCAUUAAAGGAGUGUUUCCGCCUCAUCCACAUCUCCACCUCUAUACACAAUAUAAGAUGGAGCUUGUUGCGGCAUACAUUUUCAAUCGCAGACUGUGCAGGGAAAGGAGAUAUCGGGACCCACUCAACCCACUACAUGUCAGUGAUGAGCACCUGGUGCAGGUGUAUAGAUUUCCCCGUCAGGAAAUCAUCAGGCUCUGUGAUGAGUUGCGCCCCCACCUGGAAAGGAGAACCAGGAGGGCACAUGCACUCCCAACACACACCCAGGAGACACUGCGUAUCCUCUGGAGCCAUUCCUGAUGACCCCAGUUGCACGGCCGACAACACCUGGGGAGGAGCGCUACAACAAGUCAUCACAGGACAAGAUGCGUUGUCGAACGGACCUUUGGGAUCCUCAAGUCAAGGUGCAGGUGCCUACAUAAGUCAGGAGGAAGUUUGCAGUAUGACCCCAAGAAGACUAUGAAGAUUGCGACUUCUUGUAUGCUCCUGCACAACUACUGAGUGGAUCGCUGCAGAAGAAGUAACAGUUCAGCCUGUGAGAAACAACAGACUGAUUCCUGGUCAAGUUGUCAGGCAGGGAUUUAUUAGAAACUUCUUUUCCUGAGUAUAGAUUGCAUAUGGUGCACCGGUGGCCGAGUGGUCAGCGUGUGUACGUGGUGAUCCAGAGGACUCUACUCCCACCGCAAGACGCUGAGAGUUUUCAACCAUUGACAAGUGGCGGAGGGUUACCAACAUGCUGCCCGGCAGAUCUUCAGUCAACCCUAACUUCAGCGUCUUUGAUCAAGAGGGGCACCACCUCCACACCACUCAUUCUUAUCACCUAGUUUGAUACCCUACUUGUCCAUCUCACAUGGCCCAUGUAUCUCAGCAUUCUGCACUCUUGGCUCCAUGUCAUCCUCUCCAACUUGUUGGUUCGUAUAGCAUAACCGGCCUCACAUACAUAGAAGUGUUCAAUAUACCUAGGCUAUAAUAUUAUAUUUAAGGACUCUUAUACGAGGUAUCGCCCCAGACAGAGGUGUCGAAGUAAGUCUGUCUGAUGGUAGGCUGGCUGACUGCUGUUGGGACCCAAGCCAGCAUGCCCUGGGGGUUGUGUGCGGGAGGAGGAAAGAGGGAAAAGGACAAAUGGUGUGUGUGUCAUUAUCAGGGGUAACCACGGUGGAGUGCAAACACUCGGUAGUUGUAGUCAAGGCUUAAUUAAGUUGAUGAGUGGUGUUAGACUGAAUGAGCAGGUUUUUUACCACAUGUUAGUGGGAACACUUGAUAGGUUUUGUUUGUGUGUUGGUGCUACUUGUUUCUUGUGUUUACAUGUUAGUUUAUAAUUAGACUGAGUUCUAAGUGUUAUGAGCGACAAUUUAGUCUUGUAUGGCUGAAUCCUGUCCCUUGACCCUUAAUUCAUCAUCAGAAUCUUUAAACAAAUAUAUUUACCUUAAGUAAUAUUCUUAAAGUCACGCUGCCCAUAUUAUUUGGCAGAUGAUAACCCUGUAUGCGAUAACGGUGCCUUAUAAGACUUCGUAAAUAAACUACUAAUUUUACUCUCUGGUUUAAGUGAUCAACAAUUAAUUCUACUUUGAGGUAUAAUUAACCAACAUUAUUAAGGAGUGCCCAUGCCAGGCACGACAUUAAGAAUAUUUUUCUGUUGACCAGCAGACUUACUAUAGUCAAACCAU